AAUAAAGGGAACUUGUGGUUGUUGCUGGCUAGUGUCUCUAGCAUGUGCACACGCACCUUCAUCCCAUUUACACCUGUGCACCUUUUGUAGUAGAGUUCUGAAAGGGGGGGUUUUUUUUUACCUUCCCUGAUUUACUACUACGUUUUUUAUACACACACAACUAGUCAUUGAAUGUGAUUUGAUUUUAUAUUGAAAAAAACAACUUUCAACAACGGAUCUCUUGGGUCUCGCAUCGAUGAAAAACGUAUCGAAUUACAAUAUGUAAUGUGAAUUGCGGAAUUCUCUGAAUCACCGAAUCUUUGAACGCAUCUUGCGCUCUCUGGGAUUCCGGAGAGAAUGCCUGUUUGAGAGUCAUGAAUCUCUCAAAUACAAAACUUUAUUGUUUUUGUGUUUGGACUUGGAAGCUGUCGGCGCAAGUCGACUCCUCUUCAAUGCAUUAUCUGGGGUUUAUAUAGUGGAGCCUUGGUGUGAUAAUUAUCUACGCCUUGAAGUCCCUGUAGACCUUGCUUCAAAACGUCUUACUAUGAGACAAUUUUGAAUCAUCUGGCCUCCAAUCAGGUAGGACUACCCGCUGAACAUAAGCAUAUAUUAAAGCGGAGGAAGAA
rnacentral:rRNA from 1 species